AGAUUGAACGCUGGCGGCAGGCCUAACACAUGCAAGUCGAGCGGUAGAGAGGUGCUUGCAUCUCUUGAGAGCGGCGGACGGGUGAGUAAUGCCUAGGAAUCUGCCUAGUGGUGGGGGAUAACGUUCGGAAACGGACGCUAAUACCGCAUACGUCCUACGGGAGAAAGCGGGGGACCUUCGGGCCUCGCGCCAUUAGAUGAGCCUAGGUCGGAUUAGCUAGUUGGUGAGGUAAUGGCUCACCGAAGGCGACGAUCCGUAACUGGUCUGAGAGGAUGGAUCAGUCACACUGGAACUGGAACGACGACGGUCCAGGACUCCGUAACGGGAGCAGGCAGGUGGGAAUAGUUAGGACAAGUGGGACGAAAGCCUGACUCCGAGCCAGUCGCGUCGUGUGAGAAG
rnacentral:rRNA from 1 species